UCGCGGUCCACCUCCCACCCGUGUCUAUUUGAAUACCGUGUUGCUUUGGCGGGCCCACCGGGUCUCCCGGUCGCCGGAGGACGCCUCUGUCCUCGGGCCCGUGCCCGCCGGAGCGCCCCUUGAACCCUUUGUGAAGAUGGACUGUCUGAGCAACGUUGAUAAUAAUCAAAACUUUCAACAAUGGAUCUCUUGGUUCCGGCAUCGAUGAAGAACGCAGCGAAAUGCGAUAAGUAAUGUGAAUUGCAGAAUUCCGUGAAUCAUCGAAUCUUUGAACGCACAUUGCGCUCCCUGGCAUUCCGGGGAGCAUGCCUGUCCGAGCGUCAUUUCUGCCCUCAAGCACGGCUUGUGUGUUGGGCGCUGGUCCCUCCGAAACGGGGGGACCUGCCCGAAAGGCAGCGGCGACGUUCCCGCCCAGGUCCUCGAGCGUAUGGGGCUUUGUCACUCGCUCGGGAUGGACCCGCGGAGCGUUGGUCACCUCACGAAUUUAUUCCACGGUUGACCUCGGAUCAGGUAGGAGUUACCCGCUGAACUUAAGCAUAUCAUAG
rnacentral:rRNA from 1 species